GAUGAAGAACGUAGCGAAAUGCGAUAAGUAAUGUGAAUUGCAGAAUUCAGUGAAUCAUCGAAUCUUUGAACGCACAUUGCGCCCCUUGGUAUUCCGAGGGGCAUGCCUGUUCGAGCGUCAUUAUAACCCUCAAGCUCAGCUUGGUGUUGGGGCCUGCUGCACUGGCAGCCCUUAAAAUCAGUGGCGGCGCCAUCUGUCUCUAAGCGUAGUAAUUCUUCUCGCUAUGGAGUCCUGGUGGAUGCUUGCCAUCAACCCCCAAUUUUUCUAUGGUUGACCUCGGAUCAGGUAGGGAUACCCGCUGAACUUAAGCAUAUCAAUAAGCGGAGGA
rnacentral:misc_RNA from 1 species